rnacentral:rRNA from 1 species
AUUGAACGCUGGCGGCAUGCCUUACACAUGCAAGUCGAACGGCAGCGGGGGAGAAGCUUGCUUUUCCUGCCGGCGAGUGGCGAACGGGUGAGUAAUACAUCGGAACGUGCCCUGUAGUGGGGGAUAACUAGUCGAAAGAUUAGCUAAUACCGCAUACGACCUGAGGGUGAAAGUGGGGGACCGCAAGGCCUCAUGCUAUAGGAGCGGCCGAUGUCUGAUUAGCUAGUUGGUGGGGUAAAGGCCUACCAAGGCGACGAUCAGUAGCUGGUCUGAGAGGACGAUCAGCCACACGGGGACUGCGACACGGCCCAGACUCCUACGGAGGCAGCAGUGGGGAAUUUUGGACAAUGGGCGAAAGCCUGAUCCAGCAAUGCCGCGUGUGUGAAGAAGGCCUUCGGGUUGUAAAGCACUUUUGUCCGGAAAGAAAUGGCUCUGGUUAACACCUGGGGUCGAUGACGGUACCGGAAGAAUAAGGACCGGCUAACUACGUGCCAGCCGCCGCCGUAA